rnacentral:rRNA from 1 species
AGCGAACGCUGGCGGCAGGCCUAACACAUGCAAGUCGAACGAACUCUUCGGAGUUAGUGGCGGACGGAUGAGUAACACGUGGGAACGUGCCUUUAGGUUCGGAAUAACUCAGGGAAACUUGUGCUAAUACCGAAUGUGCCCUUCGGGGGAAAGAUUUAUCGCCUUUAGAGCGGCCCGCGUCUGAUUAGCUAGUUGGUGAGGUAAAGGCUCACCAAGGCGACGAUCAGUAGCUGGUCUGAGAGGAUGAUCAGCCACAUUGGGACUGAGACACGGCCCAAACUCCUACGGGAGGCAGCAGUGGGGAAUCUUGCGCAAUGGGCGAAAGCCUGACGCAGCCAUGCCGCGUGAAUGAUGAAGGUCUUAGGAUUGUAAAAUUCUUUCACCGGGGACGAUAAUGACGGUACCCGGAGAAGAAGCCCCGGCUAACUUCGUG